CGAAGGCAGCCCCCCUGGGCCGAUACUGACGCUCAUGCACGAAAGCGUGGGUAGCAAACAGGAUUAGAUACCCUGGUAGUCCACGCCCUAAACGAUGUCAACUAGGUGUUGGAUGGGUAAAACCAUUUAGUACCGUAGCUAACGCGUGAAGUUGACCGCCUGGGGAGUACGGCCGCAAGGUUAAAACUCAAAGGAAUUGACGGGGACCCGCACAAGCGGUGGAUGAUGUGGAUUAAUUCGAUGCAACGCGAAAAACCUUACCUACCCUUGACAUGUCCAGAAGCCCGAAGAGAUUUGGGUGUGCCCGAAAGGGAGCUGGAACACAGGUGCUGCAUGGCUGUCGUCAGCUCGUGUCGUGAGAUGUUGGGUUAAGUCCCGCAACGAGCGCAACCCUUGUCGUUAAUUGCCAUCAUUUAGUUGGGCACUUUAACGAGACUGCCGGUGACAAACCGGAGGAAGGUGGGGAUGACGUCAAGUCCUCAUGGCCCUUAUGGGUAGGGCUUCACACGUCAUACAAUGGUCGGUACAGAGGGUUGCCAAGCCGCGAGGUGGAGCCAAUCCCAGAAAGCCGAUCGUAGUCCGGAUUGCAGGCUGCAACUCGCCUGCAUGAAGUCGGAAUCGCUAGUAAUCGCGGAUCAGCAUGUCGCGGUGAAUACGUUCCCGGGUCUUGUACACACCGCCCGUCACACCAUGGGAGCGGGUUCCGCCAGAAGUAGGUAGCCUAACCGCAAGGAGGGCGCUUACCACGGCGGGGUUCGUGACUGGGGUGAAGUCGUAACAAGGUAACCA
rnacentral:rRNA from 1 species